rnacentral:rRNA from 1 species
GACGAACGCUGGCGGCGUGCUUAACACAUGCAAGUCGAACGGAAAGGCCCUGCUUUUGUGGGGUGCUCGAGUGGCGAACGGGUGAGUAACACGUGAGUAACCUGCCCUUGACUUUGGGAUAACAUCAGGAAACUGGGGCUAAUACCGGAUAGGAGCUCCUGCUGCAUGGUGGGGGUUGGAAAGUUUCGGCGGUUGGGGGUGGACUCGCGGCUUAUCAGCUUGUUGGUGGGGUAGUGGCUUACCAAGGCUUUGACGGGUAGCCGGCCUGAGAGGGUGACCGGCCACAUUGGGACUGAGAUACGGCCCAGACUCCUACGGGAGGCAGCAGUGGAGAGUAUUGCACAAUGAGCGGAAGCCUGAUGCAGCAGCGCCGCGUGCGGGAUGACGGCCUUCGGGUUGUAAACCGCUUUCGCCUGUGACGAAGCGUGAGUGACGGUAAUGGGUAAAGAAGCACCGGCUAACUACGUG